UUUACGUCACACGGGUGGAGCCUGAAAUUGCCAACAUGUCUUAGUAGUAAUGUUUUACCAGCGUUGGUUAUCUUUCUUUCUCGUACUCGAUCUGUUCGCUCUGUAGUUUUGAUCUCGUCAUUAGAGGAUUAUCAAACGCACAGCUGAUGUGGAUGUUUUUGCUGCUCAAAGAUUCAUCAAAAGGUAAAUAAAAGGAAAUAGUGAGAACAUGAGAUCACAUCUGGAUAAUCAGAACGAUCAAAUCAGUAAAUGAGUGAUGGACAGCAGAGAGAAGGAUUUAACAUGCAGUGAAUUGAAGCCUAUUCGCAGAGACAGCAUGCAGCACAAACCAAACAUGUGUGUGGACGCAGACAGACAUCUAGAGCUUAACUCUUGUCAGUCGGCAAGACUCAAAGAAAAGAUCCACGCAGUGUGUUUUGUGCUCUUCAGAGAUUUGAUCUUCAGCUCUCACUCUGCGGGCACAGAGUCACUGCUCCCCCUAGUGGACACAAUUGUAUAGCACAAGAGCACACCUGACAGCAUUGUACGUUUUUUUACACUAAAACACUGUACAGUGUGAAGGUUUUCAGUUUACUGUUUCCUGAUGUCAGUGUUAAACUUAAAAAAAGGCCAUGAGUUAAUGUAUUUCCUAACAUGAACAAGUGCUGAACAAUAUAUUUAAUACAGUAUUUAUUAAUGCAAAGCUGUUUAUUAAUAGUUCUCAUUAACUCACAGUGCAUUAACCAAUGUUAACACGCAUAGAUAUUAAUAAUGCUUUAGUAAAUGCUCAACUUUGAUUAAAAAAUAUGUACAAGACUGUUUAUACUUUGGUGGUAAAUACAUUGACAAAUAUUAACUACUGGAACAUUAUUGUAAAGUGUGAGCCAGUGUUUAAUCUUCAUUGUAAAGGAUCUUUAGGGGGUUUCUUUUAAGAUUUAAGUGUGAAAGGAUUUCACUAUACUUAAUUUGUUUUAUAAUAAAAAUCUUUGCUAUCUUUUUGUAAGUUCCAUACAUUUGUAAAAUGUGUAUAUAUAUAUAAUGCUUUUUAUACAAAUAAACUGCCUCUGAGAGGUGCAUUAAACCUGA